UACGGGGGGGGCAAGCGUUGUUCGGAAUUACUGGGCGUAAAGGGCUCGUAGGCGGCCAACUAAGUCAGACGUGAAAUCCCUCGGCUUAACCGGGGAACUGCCUCUGAUACUGGAUGGCUUGAGAUUGGGAGAGGGAUGCGGAAUUCCAGGUGUAGCGGUGAAAUGCGUAGAUAUCUGGAGGAACACCGGUGGCGAAGGCGGCAUCCUGGACCAACACUGACGCUGAGUGAGCGAAAGCCAGGGGAGCAAACGGG
rnacentral:rRNA from 1 species